rnacentral:tRNA from 1 species
GUGACUUUGACCGAGUGGUUAAGGCGUGCGCUCCUAAGAUCCCCGCGAGAGUUCGAAUCUCGUCAGCCACA